GACCGUGUAGCUCAGUUGGUAGAGCGUCGAUCUAGUAAUUCGAAGGUCGCAGGUUCAAGAUCCAGCCGCGGCA
rnacentral:tRNA from 1 species